AACCAGCACACUAGCAUGAGCAGCAGCUGAGCUAAUUAAACGAAAAAAAUAAAUGAAAAUUAAAGUGUAAAUUGAGAAAUAUUGCAAUUUACUAAUUAUUUGUGUUUUCUAAUCUACUGUAAGUUUGCUAAUUUCUAUUUAAAGUCAGGUCAUAUUUAACUCAUUAUGCUGCCUGGGUGAGAGAUAUUUCAGAAAAUGAAUUAGUCAUGUCGUCAAUGAAAGAUAACAUCAAGGAAAAUGGAAAACAAGAAUCAGUAAUGUCAUAUGUUGUAGGCCCUGUGUUUUACCAGUGUGACAAGUGUGGCACCUUUUUCCGUUCCAAACCCCUGGCCGCAAUUCAUCUUUGGACUGCUGGGCAUGGAAAACCUAGUUCUGCCGGAUGGAGCACGGUCCCCUUUCCCACGCCAAUAUUAAAAUUGGACAAAUUACUUGUCGAAGCACCGGAAAUAGAAACUGAUCUUGAUGAAGAAUUUGCAGCCAGUCCGCUAUUCGUCCCAGUCGAGGUCGAGAUGGAGACGGAGUUUGAGUUUGAAAACGUCGUCGAACUAUGCGAACCUUUGGAGGAAUCUAGAUCAAGUAUUCCUCUAAGUUCCGAAAAUCCUGUCAGAAAGAGAAAACAGUUCAUCGCAAAAUUUCGCUCUUAUGAUGAGAUUAAAGAAGAAACCGUUCAUGAAGGUUUUCAAGCUGUGGUGCAAGGACUAAUGACACUCCAAAAUGCAGGAAAUGCAACCCUGGCCGAUACCAAAUCUCUCCCUCCGGUACAAAUACAAUCCGACACAGGAGUAAAAACUAAAUUGACUUGUGACAAAUGUGGGAGAACUUUUUCCACAAAUUUUACACUCCGACGACACCAGGAAAUCGUUAAAAACUGUUCCAACCUAACCAUACGUGAGCGGGUAGAUUUUACUGGACCAGAUAAACGCAAAAACAGGGUCCGACAGUGUCAGCGUGUCGCGAUCGAUCUAUCUUGUGACAAGUGCGACGUCAUAUUUGUUCACGCUACUUCAUUGAAACGACAUUUAAGCAACAAUAGUUGCUCGAGCGUCAAAACUCCAUCGAGUAGCAAUAUGAAGAAGACAGGGAGAAUAAAGUGUAACAAAUGCGACGCCACAUUUAUUCACGCUAGUUCACUGGAACGACAUUUAAACAAUAAAACUUGUUUCAACGUCAAAACACCUGUUCCAUUAAGGAGAAAAAGUGCACUGCCAUUGGGGAGAAUAAUUUGUGGCAAAUGUGGACUCAAUUUUGCCUCAAAUUAUUCACUCGAACGACACCAGACUAACGUUAAAGACUGUUCCAACAAAAUCAUACUCGCUCAGCUAAUCAGAAAACGGCAGCGGGUAGGUUUUACUGGACCCAAAACUGUCGCAAUCGAUAGAUCUCAAAUUCACUACGAGCAACACGUGAAACUGAAAACUAACUUCAACUCGUCCCCUGCCGAAACUAAUGCUAUUAGUUGUAUUCCAUUAAGGGAAAAAAGUGCAUUGGGGAGAAUAAGUUGUGACAAAUGUGGACUCACCUUUGCUUCGAAUUAUUCACUCGGACGACACCAGAACUACGUCAAAGAUUGUUCCAACCGAACCCAAUUAGCUCGUUUAAGAAGAAUACGUCAAAAGCACCCUCGCUUUAAGCGUACCGGACCAAUUAAACCCAAAACCCGAACGUACUCUGAGCGUCACUAUGAGCAACACAUGAAAAGUCACUCUCACUCGCCCCCUGUCCCCAAAGGGAGUCGCAAUUCUAGGAAGGCAAGAAGAGUAAUAAAGUGUGACAAGUGUAACGUCACAUUUCUUUACACUAGAUCAUUGCGACGACACUUACAAAAUAAAACUUGUGAACGUCGUACUUGUCCCGUUUUCACAUGUCGAAAGUCGUUCCCCAGUCCUCCCUCCUUGCAAGUUCACAUUAGACUUGUUCAUGAAAAGAAAAACGGGGACGAAGGUGGGCGUCAGUGCGCCAUUUGCGGGGAGAGUUUCGACCUCGGCAACAAACUUUACGCCCACUUGGCGCUAAAACAUGCAUCCCAGGAUGACGUUGAGGAAGAGAACAGCGUUGUCUUAGUAAAAGAUGAAGAAAUGAUUAUUAAAGAAGAGCUAGACGUGGAUGAUUAUGAAAGCUCGUUGUUAUCGGAACUAGACGCGGAAGGUGCUGACAUGGUGGGUGGCGUGAAACUGGAAGGCGAUGAAAUGGAAGAGUUUUAUGAGAAUGGUGUUACGAGUAGUGGGAUUUUCGACAUUCUUGACCCCGAUGAAGAUCAUGAUAGCGUUGACGAUUUAUAAAUGCGAGAGACGUCUGACAAACUUUUUUUAGAUUGUAAAUUUUUAUAUAAUUUCUAAUUAACAUUAUUUCAUAUUACAGAGAUGAUAUUCUUGGAUUCUACGGCAGAAUUUGUAUUAAGAAUACUGACAACAAUGUAUUUUGUACAAGACUUUAUCUAUAUUUUUGGGCCUCCGCGUGCAGGUGGUGUACCACACCAGGGCCGGGCCCCGCAGGGGCCGGGCCUGCGUCCCAGAAAAAAAUUAAAUUUGUCGAAAACAUAAACGACAUCGUUUUAAAUAAAUUUUGUGCAAAUUAAAAAUGA